CGAUGCCUAAGACAUGCAAGUCGAACGAGACGACCUCUGAAGAUUGCGAGCUUGCUCAAAGUCGGAUUUGGAUUUCGUCUAGUGGCGCAAGGGUGAGUAACACGUGGGUAAUCUACCUUAGAGUCUGGAAUAACAGUUAGAAAUGAUUGCUAAUGCCGGAUGAUACAUAGAAUGAUACGUCUUUUUAUGUUAAAAGGGCCUUUAAAGCCUCGCUUUAAGAUGAGCCUGCGCUGUAUUAGCUUGUUGGUGGGGUAAUGGCCUACCAAGGCUACGAUGCAUAGCCGACCUGAGAGGGUGAUCGGCCACACUGGGACUGAGACACGGCCCAGACUCCUACGGGAGACAGCAGUUAGGAAUAUUCGUCAAUGGGGGAAACCCUGAACGAGCAAUGCCGCGUGAAGGGAAUGACGGUCCUAUGGAUUGUAAACUUCUGUUGUUAGGGAAGAACGACUAGAGUAGGAAAUGACUCUAGAGUGACGGUACCUUUCAAGAAAGCUCCGGCUAACUACGUGCCAGCCGCAGC
rnacentral:rRNA from 1 species